UUCAAUUAACACUUACAUGGAAAGAGAUAAAAGAAUGAACUACAAAUAAUGAAGUACUAACACCAUUGUUUUUUAGGAUUAAAAGCUUACCAGGUCUAUUAACCAAUUACCUGGACUCUCAGGCAUAUGCGACCAAUAGUGACUCAUUCAUAUUCAUCUAAGUUCAUCACAAGAUGGCCACUUCAUUAGAAUUGAUCUUUUAUUGGAAUUAACAUGUCCCAGUUGAAGCACAGAUCCCUAUGCACAUCAAUGGUAACGAAUGAUUCUUGAAUAGCAGGAUAAAAUAUAGAUCAGACAUAAAAAUAGUAACUAGUAUUGUAGUCAAAUUUUAACCGCGCUGCGCAUGGCCAUUUGAAGUAUCUAUUAUAGAUUUAGAUAACUUUACAGGGACAUUAGAAAAAACAGAAAUAACAGGAGAAUCUUAUCAAGAGAAUAAAUUAACAGAGGAGAAGUUACUUGCAUGCACCUUCUAGCUCAAUGAAUGUGAUUUUAUGUGAUUAAUUGUCAACAUACAGUCGCCUGAAAUUAUGAAUUAUAAGGUUGCAAUGGAGAGGUGGAAAUGGAGAAGAAAGAGGUGAUAACUAUACUAACGUAGAAAUUAUGCACAAUUUUAUCAUCCCCUUUACUAAUGAAACAAAAAUCUUUGGAACACUUUGUUUAAAGUAACUUUGUGACUUGUAUACAUUCUUGUCUGAUUACUGCACCUAUAGAAGAAAGAUAAGUCAGAGCUGGACUUAUAUAAAAAGGAAAACUCAAUUUCCUUUUUCAGAAUAACAAAAGGAAGAAGCUGGACUUAUAUAAAAAAGAAAACUCAAUUUCCUUCUUCAAAAUAACAAAAGGAAACCAAAAUUUUCUCAAGUUAGGAAUAGAGUGCCCAGAGUGUGGAAAAUAAUGCCAUUCCUAUUUCCCCUCAAUUGCAUUUAGCAAGAUGACAGUCAUAUUCACUCCAAGAGUAUGGAAGAACUACUGACCUCUCUACUUGCAAAUGGCUUGAUGCGAGCAAUCAGAGAAAUAUAUUUUAGUUUUCAUGUACUGUUAUCAUUAAACCACAAAUAUUGAUACAUCUCAGUUGACAUUUUAAAAAUCUCUCAGAAAAGUACUGACAUUAUGGAUCAUUGAACGAACAAAAUGCAAGUAUGGAUGCACUUACCUUGAGUUUAGGAUAAGGGGCCUGGAGUUUUUCGUUCGCUUCUCCCGGGGUGGGUCCGCAGGGUUACUCAUAAAUAAUUUGUGUUUACUGUAUGAUACUAUUACAUGCUAUUGUAUUUUGGUAUUUUUGUUUCCUUUGUUCAGAUUAUUAUUAACGCUAAUUCUGCUGAAAUCUCUAAUGCAUUAUGCUCUAUUGUUUUUGUUUUUGUUUUUGUAUCUGAUGCUAUUGUAUUUUGGUGUUUUUCCUCUAAUCCUAUGAGCCGAGGGUCGAUUGGAAACAGCCUCCCUGCCCUUUCGGGUAGGGGUAAGGCUCGUCUACAUAUUACCCUCCCCAGAUAGUUUUCAUGUACUGCUAUCAUUAAACCACAAAUAUUGAUACAUCUCAGUCGACAUUUUAAAAAUCUCUCAGAAAAGUACUGACGUUAUGGAUCAUUGAACGAACAAAAUGCAAGUACGGAUGCACUUACCUUAAGACGUUUGUCAAAGUUCAGACAUGGCUGAAAAGAUUGUCGAUGAGUGUCAAUCAAUCUAUUCUAACAAAUUUAUCAAUUGCAACACAGUAAUUUAAUCAAUUAAUGUUUAUUCAAAGAAUCUGGAGCUAUAGAGACCCAAUCCUGAAGCUAAACUUGACAUGUGUGUACUUCUAUCAACUAAACAAUGUCCUACUUCUCUAAAAGAAUAUAGAGAGUAAGGUAGUAGAUCCAAUAAGCAAAAGAUUACCUUUUACUAGAAUGUCGUAUGCCUAUGUAUAACCUGAUAUAUUAAGCUAAAGAAAAUAAGUCUCACUAAAACGUCCAUGCCAUUUUGAUCUCACACAAUUUUGUUAGGGUAUAAAAGGAGAAACCAAAGACAAAAUGGAAAAUGACGGACUAACAUAAUGUAUCCAAAGGAAAUUAGAAACCAAAAUACUAACUGAUGACACUAGAUUAUUGCUUUUCAAUAAAAAUUUCACUAGUUUUUUUAAAAUUCUAUCUCCCUUAUAGUGUCUGCAACAAAUACCAUAUCAUCCCACAGAUGUUUUGAUUUUUUAGAAUCAAAUUUUCAUUACGAACUCUACUUCACCCACAACUCUUUUUUCAGUCAACCAAAUUUCAACCACUAAUCAGACAAUUCCUUAAGAUAAACAAUAUAAAAUAGUUUUUCAAAAAAUAAAGGUAGCUAAGUGCAAGACAAGAGGGGUUGCUCUGAUGGUAAGCAACCCCCACUUCCAACCAAGAGGUUGUGAGUUNNNNNNNNNNNNNNNNNNNNNNNNNNNNNNNNNNNNNNNNNNNNNNNNNNNNNNNNNNNNNNNNNNNACUUCCAACCAAGAGGUUGUGAGUUCGAGUCUCCCCAAGAGCAAGGUGGGAAGUUCUUGGAGGGAAGGAUGCUGGGGGUCUAUUUGGAAACAGCCUCUCUGCCCAAACGUAGGGGUAAGGUCUGCGUACACACUAUCCUCCCCAGACCCCACUAAAUGGGAUUAUACUGGGCUGUUGUUAUUGUAAAGGUAGCUAAGUGCAAAUACGACACCUAUUUUUACAGAUCAAAGCAAAAUAACAUGGAACCCUAGAUCCAAAUCAAUACAUAAUGAAAAAGGAGAUUAAAACAGAAAGGACCUGGCCGAACUUUGUUUGAAGUUAGGAGUUGAGAUUACUGAAGCUGCGGCGGAGAAAAUCAAACUCCAUACGAGCUUCAUCAUAGACCAGAAGCUUCGCCAUUCCUUCUCGUGUUCGAAUCGAUGGCCACAACACCUAAUUUUACAGAUAAAAGAAAACUAACAAUGGAACCCUAGAUCCAAAUCAAUACAUAGUGAAAAAGGAGAUUAAAACGGAAAGGUCCUGGCCGAACUUUGUUUGAAGUUAGGAGUUGAGAUUACUGAAGCUGGGCGGAGAAAAUCAAUCUCCAUACGAG
rnacentral:lncRNA from 1 species